GACGAACGCUGGCGGCGUGCUCAACACAUGCAAGUCGAACGGUAUGGCCCUGCUUUUGUGGGGUGCUCGAGUGGCGAACGGGUGAGUAACACGUGAGUAACCUGCCCUCGACUUUGGGAUAACUUCAGGAAACUGGGGCUAAUACCGGAUAGGAGCUCCUGCUGCAUGGUGGGGGUUGGAAAGUUUCGGCGGUUGGGGAUGGACUCGCGGCUUAUCAGCUUGUUGGUGGGGUAGUGGCUUACCAAGGCUUUGACGGGUAGCCGGCCUGAGAGGGUGACCGGCCACAUUGGGACUGAGAUACGGCCCAGACUCCUACGGGAGGCAGCAGUGGGGAAUAUUGCACAAUGGGCGGAAGCCUGAUGCAGCAACGCCGCGUGCGGGAUGACGGCCUUCGGGUUGUAAACCGCUUUCGCCUGUGACGAAGCGUGAGUGACGGUAAUGGGUAAAGAAGCACCGGCUAACUACGUG
rnacentral:rRNA from 1 species